rnacentral:ncRNA from 1 species
CCGAGUGUCAGUUGAAACGAAGCAAGUUGGAUCCAGUGUACUCGAGGAGGUAUGGCCCAUUUUCUUGCUGCUGGUUGUGGUGGCGCACACUGGGAGGAUUUGCUGAAGGAGGCAGAGGCAGGAGGAUCAUGAGUUCAAGGCCUGUGAACAGUGUGAGGCCAAUAGCAGCCCCUAGCACAUGGGGUCCAGGUCUUCCCAGAGUCGGGUUGCUUGGGAAUUCGGCCCACAGCAGGUGGUAAACUCCAUCUAAGGCUACUAAAUACCAGACCAAUAGUCAACAAGUACCAUAAGGGAAAGUUGAAAAGAACUUUGAAGAGAGAGUUCAAGCCUGCUGAUGGAGGC